UACGUAGGGUGCAAGCGUUAAUCGGAAUUACUGGGCGUAAAGCGUGCGCAGGCGGCGCGUUAAGACAGGUGUGAAAGCCCCCGAGCUUAACUUGGGAAUUGCGCUUGUGACUGGCGUGCUGGAGUGUGGCAGAGGGAGGUGGAAUUCCACGUGUAGCAGUGAAAUGCGUAGAGAUGUGGAGGAACACCGAUGGCGAAGGCAGCCUCCUGGGCCAGCACUGACGCUCAUGCACGAAAGCGUGGGGAGCAAACAGG
rnacentral:rRNA from 1 species